rnacentral:rRNA from 1 species
UAAGGAAUAUUGGUCAAUGGACGCAAGUCUGAACCAGCCAUGCCGCGUGGAGGAUGAAGGUCCUCUGGAUUGUAAACUUCUUUUAUUUGGGACGAAAAAGGAUCUUUCUAGAUCAACUGACGGUACCAGAUGAAUAAGCACCGGCUAACUCCGUGCCAGCAGCCGCGGUAAUACGGAGGGUGCAAGCGUUAUCCGGAUUCACUGGGUUUAAAGGGAGCGUAGGUGGGUUGGUAAGUCAGUGGUGAAAUCCCUAAGCUUAACUUGGGAACUGCCAUUGAUACUAUUAAUCUUGAAUACCGUGGAGGUCAGCGGAAUAUGUCAUGUAGCGGUGAAAUGCUUAGAUAUGACAUAGAACACCAAUUGCGAAGGCAGCUGGCUACACGAAUAUUGACACUGAGGCUCGAAAGCGUGGGGAUCAAACAG